rnacentral:rRNA from 1 species
UACGUAGGCAGCGAGCGUUGUUCGGAAUUACUGGGCGUAAAGAGUGUGUAGGCGGUGCUCUAAGUUCGGUGUGAAAUCCCCGGGCUCAACCCGGGAACUGCGUCCGAUACUGGGAGGCUUGAAUCCGGGAGAGGGAUGUGGAAUUCCAGGUGUAGCGGUGAAAUGCGUAGAUAUCUGGAGGAACACCGGUGGCGAAGGCGGCAUCCUGGACCGGUAUUGACGCUGAGGCGCGAAAGCCAGGGGAGCAAACGGG